rnacentral:lncRNA from 1 species
GGGAGAGUGGCAUGGGGUUAGCAGUAGACUGUCAGGGGAGAGUGGUCUGAGGUUAGUAGUAGACUGUCGGGGAGAGUGGCAUGGGGUUAGUAGUAGACUGUCAGGGGAGAGUGGUCUGAGGUUAGUAGUAGACUGUCAGGGGAGAGUGGUCUGGGGUUAGUAGUAGACUGUCAGGGGAGAGUGGUCUGAGGUUAGUAGUAGAUUGUCAGGGGAGAGUGGUCUGGGGUUAGCAGUAGACUGUCAGGGGAGAGUGGUCUGGGGUUAGUAGUAGACUGUCAGGGGAGAGUGGUCUGAGGUUAGUAGUAGACUGUCAGGGGACAGUGGUCUGAGGUUAGUAGUAGACUGUCAGGGGAGAGUGGUCUGGGGUUAGCAGUAGACUGUCAGGGGAGAGUGGUCUGAGGUUAGCAGUAGACUGUCAGGGGAGAGUGGUCUGGGGUUAGCAGUAGACUGUCAGGGGAGAGUGGUCUGAGGUUAGCAGUAGACUGUCAGGGGAGAGUGGUCUGGGGUUAGCAGUAGACUGUCAGGGGAGAGUGGUCUGAGGUUAGUAGUAGACUGUCAGGGGAGAGUGGUCUGGGGUUAGCAGUAGACUGUCGGGGAGAGUGGUCUGGGUUUAGUAGUAGACUGUCAGGGGAGAGUGGCAUGGGGUUAGCAGUAGACUGUCGGGGAGAGUGGCAUGGGGUUAGCAGUGGACUGUCAGGGGAGAGUGGUCUGAGGUUAGCAGUAGACUGUCGGGGGAGAGUGGUCUGGGGUUAGUAGUAGACUGUCAGGGGAGAGUGGUCUGAGGUUAGUAGUAGACUGUCAGGGGAGAGUGGUCUGGGGUUAGUAGUAGACUGUCAGGGGAGAGUGGUCUGAUGUUAGUAGUAGACUGUCAGGGGAGAAUGGUCUGGGGUUAGUAGUAGACUGUCAGGGGAGAGUGGUCUGAGGUUAGUAGUAGACUGUCAGGGGAGAGUGGUCUGGGGUUAGCAGUAGACUGUCAGGGGAGAGUGGUCUGAGGUUAGUAGUAGACUGUCAGGGGAGAGUGGUCUGAGGUUAGUAGUAGACUGUCAGGGGAGAGUGGUCUGGGGUUAGUAGUAGACUGUCAAGGGAGAGUGGUCUGGGGUUAGUAGUAGACUGUCAGGGGAGAGUGGUCUGAGGUUAGUAGUAGACUGUCAGGGGAGAGUGG